UUUGGUCUGGCCAAGAUCCAGCACGAAGACGACAGCCAUGUGUCUACACGGGUGAUGGGGACUUUCGGGUACAUGGCAUCGGAGUACACCAACACCGGGAAAAUAACCGACUGGUCUGAUGUCUUCUCCUUCGGCGUCGUGCUUCUGGAGAUCAUCACCGGCAAGAGACUGGUCCUGUCCGACGAGCCCGACGAGGACGAUGAGACUCUGGUCUCUUGGGUGAGUCGUUUUUACCCUGAAUCCUAG
rnacentral:rRNA from 1 species